GAGACAUGGAGUUUGUUGGUUGUGCUGUGAGGAGAUGUCCAUGAGAAAUCACUGAGAAGGUAUGGGACCUUAGCAAUAGGAUGGCAACAAGUUUAGACACUCCUAUUGGAAGAAAACUUUGUCACUCAUCAUCACCCUACUUGGAGGCAAGAGGUUUUGCCUGCACUGAGCACCUGUCAGUCCCCCUGGGGCAAGAGGAAAAGAGCCAGAAUUUCUUCACAACCAGUCCCCAGCUCCCCAUCAUUCUCUCCCUCAUGUUGGACCAAGCACAGAGGCUUUCUGUCCAUUUCCCAAAGGAGUCUUUUACUGCCAGUUUGGACUGAGCUGUUUCUUUUUGGGAGGUCUUCAUAAUCAAGCACCACUAGAGGACUUGAAACAAACCAGAGAGAUUUCAUGGUCUCCUUUCAAAGGACUUGUGUGCCAGGAAUCAGCUGCUAUUUUCAUAGGGAAUUGGGGAAGCCAAGGCCAGGGUGGCAGCCUGGGGACAUGGUCUGAGUUUUGUGGGCUCUCAUUGGACAUCUGUGCUGCAUGGAAAGUGCCACUGAGUAAAGGAUUUGCUUUCCUGUGUGCUGAAAGCAGCAGGAGGUGCUGUGUUAUGUACAGACAGCUUCUCUAUCCCAGGGCUGCAUGACUUGCAGCCUGAGGCACCUCCCAGCACUCCCCAUUUCUGCUGAUGUGUCACCCUGGAUGCUCUCAAGGCUCUGUAGUGCCAACACAGAAACUAUGUAAAAAGUAUCCCCCAGUGCCCUGUGCACCCAGGAGAGGCACCGCCUCCCUGUAGCUCUCCUGGCAGUGGUGCCAGCUCCUGUGAGCAGAAAUCACCCUCUGUUCUCUGCUUAUCAGCUGCUGAGCUCCCAAGGUGAUGCAAGGACUAGCAACUAAGGCACACUAGUGCACUUUACCACCCCAUUUAGCUUUCCUAAAAUGGAAAGUAAAAUAGUUUUCCUUUCAGUUUCCAAAAGAUACUGCUAUCUUCUCCACUUACCUCGAAGGCCAUUUCAGAGACCAGCAGGCCUGUGCCAUCCUCCCUCCAUCAGGAGCCUCUCAGGAGUGCCUCUAUUGCAGCACUGGUCCCACUCAACCUACAGGGGACAAAAAGGAGGGAGGCCUACUUAGAUUUUUAUUUUAACAUCCAGAGCACAUGCUGGAGGUGUGUAACUCUGCAAACCUGUUCAGCAUUGGCACACAGGGCCAGGAACAUCAUGUCUUUUCCAGCUGCAGCUCUUGCAAAUCCGUGGGAAACUUUUCCUCUCAAAUACCUCCGUUAGUUUGCUAUAUUCAUUCUUGUUGUCUGGCUUGUGUUUCUGGGUGCAGAUAAUUCCAAUGCAGUUGCAUAAAGCUAUACUCCAUUUUGGUAUCCAGCCACAUAUUUUCAACCAUAUAAUAUUUGUCACGAAUAUAAGCAUAUAUUUAUAUGUGUUAAAUGCCAAAUUGGCACAUGAUCUCUUGACUGAGCCAGGGCCUGGAGACUUCUCUACAUGGCAUCCCUCCAAGCUGUAGAGAUUGCUUCCACUUCAAAUAACUUUUCCUUGAGAGCUCCUGUGGCACCUGUGUUAACAACAGCAAGAGACCCUCAGGAAGUGUCAAAGCACGCUUGGCAGCUGUAUAGCAGGGGAGGAGCACUGACUUUUGUCCCCUUGUCCCUCGAACCUCCCUGUGCUGUGAAAGCAGAGCCAUGUGUGCAGCCCAUUGGGAAAGCCCUCCCAUGCCACAGGCUCCU